GUAUUCACAAUUAAAACAAAAUGUUUUAAAGCUCAAGAAUCCAUAAACCCGUGGUCCAUUUGGCUGUCAAAGUAGUAACAUCACCACACAGCAUGUAGCCUCUGGAAAACUCCAAUGUACACUCAUGAGAUGCUCAUAAUGAAAAAGAACUGAAGAAGAUAGAAGAAGUUUUCCAAACAGACAGAUGCUGAAGGAGCUCAUCACCCCUAGACCAGCCUUAGAAGAAGUGUUAAUGGAAGUUCUUCAAGCUGAAACAAAAGGCCACUGAUUCCUAACAGAAAAGCAAUUCACUGGUAACGAUGCACAAAAAAUACAUGGAAAGGAAUCAAAGCAUACCACUAAAGAAAAUAAUCAAAUCUGAAAGGAAAAGAGCAAAAGAGGAAGAAAGGAACUUCAAAACAGUCAGAAAGCAAUUAACAAAAUUAUGAAGAAACUGAUGUUCAAAGAAGUGACUUACCCAUGUUACAGGACUACCAGUGACCCAGGUCUGACUCCAGCAUUAUCUACUGCCUGUGCCUUACACUUUGACUCUAAAACCCUGAAUCAAUAAAGUGUCAGCACACAAAGCUGAGUAAAUAUGAAAGUUAUAGUUAGGCUAUUAAGGCUCAAUAAGAAACCUUAGAUCCACUUCAGGAAGUACUUGUUAAACUAAAUCUAACUAUGAAAAGAUGGCUUAAAAAAAUCAACAUAUCUUGUAAUGUUUUAUCCAUCCUAAUCUAUUUUUAUCCAUCCAUUUAAUAAAUCAUUUUGUGUUCCAUGCUUUUCUAAGCACUUUGUGUUUAAAGGGGUGUCUUACAAUAUGGUGCUUACUAGAGCUGGGGAGGUGAGAGUGCAGAGGACAACACAGAGAAGGCUGUCAAGGAAAGGCACUCAAGCAGAGGUCUUGAAUGACGUGAAGGAGUUUGCCAAGCAAAGGGCAGUUCUGGUGGAGGAAACUUAAGGCAAGUUGCUUGCCAGAAAAUGAGACUUUUAACCUUUUAAGUGAGUCUUCUUAGGUGGUAAAAGUAACAGAAGUUCACGGUUAAAAACACACUUACUCACACAGUACCAGAUACACGCACAGUAUCACUCCCCAGGGGAAGCCACUGUACUUACGUGUCACUGAAGACAUGUUUAUCUUUACAAAAGUGCACACACUUUUACACAAAUGAGAUAUUAAACAUAUUGUUCUGCAAUACACUUUCACUGAAGGAAGAAAAGGUGCCUGUGGCUUAGGAGAAACAACAGGACCAGGCUCCAGGGAAGCGAGAGGAACAUGUUCUGGUGAUUCUGGAGACAAAACUGGCCAAGUUUCCGUGUUUCUAUAGUAAGGGCAAAUAUAAUGUUCAGGAAUUCUGCUGAAUUAGAAGGCAUUUUCUAGGACAUUUUUACAUACAGAGUAAGCAGAGUUUCCUUCUCUGAAUUUAAGGGUAUUUCUGAAGGGGGAAAAACCCAGAAAUGGAUUACAUGGUUCAAAGGCUUUUCGCAACUGAAACUGAUAUUUUACCAAACUCUCAAAAAGUUGCUGUACUUUUAUAUACCAACCAAUAGUGCAUAUGUGAAGAACAAUUCCCCAACUCCCUUGUCAACAGAGUAUCAUUAAACUUCUAA